AUUGACCAUAUUUGGACAGUGCCUGGAUGUGGUUAAAACAUGGAAGGGAUCGGACAAAUUCAAAUGAUAAGACAGCUUUGGAAAAUUUGCCAAGAAUGCCUGGUCUGCAGCAGUUAUUUUACCCCGUGUACACACACACACGCGUUAUUUUACCCGUAUGAUAAGCUGGUUUGUCUGAAGACCAAAAAGUUGGAAAAUACAUUAAAGAAAGAACAUUUAAUAGUGAAUGAAUGAAUUCAAGCACCAUCAUUCCACAUGCAGCGACAGUAAAAACACCC